ACUCCUACGGGAGGCAGCAGUGGGGAAUUUUGGACAAUGGGGGCAACCCUGAUCCAGCCAUGCCGCGUGCGGGAAGAAGGCCUUCGGGUUGUAAACCGCUUUUAGCCGGGAAGAAAAGGCCAGGCCUAAUACGUCUGGUUCUUGACGGUACCGGCGGAAUAAGCACCGGCCAACUACGUGCCAGCAGCCGCGGUAAUACGUAGGGUGCGAGCGUUAAUCGGAAUUACUGGGCGUAAAGCGUGCGCAGGCGGUUCGUUAAGUCUGAUGUGAAAGCCCCGGGCUCAACCUGGGAAUGGCAUUGGAAACUGGCGGGCUGGAGUGUGGCAGAGGGGGGUGGAAUUCCGCGUGUAGCAGUGAAACGCGUAGAGAUGCGGAGGAACACCGAUGGCGAAGGCAGUCCCCUGGGCUGACACUGACGCUCAGGCACGAAGGCGUGGGGAGCAAACGGGAUUAGAUACCCUGGUAG
rnacentral:rRNA from 1 species